rnacentral:lncRNA from 1 species
CUUCACUUCAUGUUGGAACCGAGAGAGAGAACCAAAACAUUCCUCUUGGUUGUUCCACUUCAGCCAAGAAAGAAAGAGGGCAAGGCUGGUCUCCUAUCUUCUACUCCAACCGAGAGAGAAAAGUUGAGAGAAUUUUUUGGUUCAUUUCCAUAUCAGUUGAAGUCGAGGGAAAGAGAGUUAGAGAGGAAGGAAAGAGUGAGAAAGCUCUAUUUUCUUGGUGUGAUUCAACCUUGAGGAGCUGAGGGAGGAAAGAGCAUUCUGUCUCCAUUAUUCCAGCCAUGAACCGUGAAUGAAAAAGGGAGGUAGUUGCUAAGUUCUUCUUUAUUUUCCUACUACCUUUGGUUAAUAAUGUCUUAGAAUGAAUUAAAAGUGAGAAAAGAGAAGUUUAGUUGGAGAAAAGUUCAUCCAAAGCCAAAAAUUUCUGGAUAAAUUGCUACUUAAAGACCAAGAGGACAAAGCUGCUAUUUUCGGUUCUUUUCUUUAAAGUUUUGCUGGAUUUUGUCUAGAUGUACUUAAUAUACCUCCUAUCCUUAUUUUUAUGACAUGCACGAAUUGCUUUACUUGAAUCUAAGUGAGGUUAGUGUUGGAUUUUGAAGGAAUUUUGCUAAAAAUUUUCUGGUUAUGUUGAUGCUUGAAGGCUGAUGGAGUAAAGCUGAAAAGUUGCAGUUUUAACUGCAAAAUUUUGCUGGUUUUGGCGAAGAACUCACUUCAUGUACCAUUUACCUCUUUUAUCUAUACAUAUAUAUGGUAUUUGUUGGGAUAGAAGCAAGAAAGACUAAUUGUUGGAAGAAACCUUGCUAAAAUCUGUUUGAAACUAAGGAAGACAAGAGCUUAUUUUACAGCCUCUUAUUGCGAAAUUUUGAGGAGUUUUCCCUAGGAAGUCAUGCUCUAAAUGUUAUAUUUCUUAUUUAGUAUGAUAUAUAGCAUGUUGUCUUUGAAUUUGGUAGCAAAUGGCUGGCCUAGAUGUGAGUUAUUGGUAGCAAUAAAGUUGGAAUAAUUCAAGUGAAAGGCUGAAUUUCGGGUGACAGUCACCCCUGGGCAAUUUUAGUAAAAUGAUCAUAAUUUAGUGUAAAAAAAUCGAAAUUGAGUGCCGUCAACUGCGUUUGAAACUAGACUCAUAGAUCUUUCUAACGGUAUAAAAUUGGAGCUAUGGUUUAUUUUACAUAUGCACCAGAAAAUCGCCCAAGUUGACUGAAAAAUGCACCCUGCACAAAUAAAAACUGGGAUGUUGUAGUAAAUUGUGCCUCAAUUUGGACUAAUUUUUGAACUGAAUCUCCUUGAGGUGUUUUUCAAAGAUUGUUAGUAUCUCAAGUCUAAUUUUAAAUGAGCUAAGUUGUAUAAGUUUUUGACAUUUAUAACUCAAGUUAUGAUUUUUCCAAAGAAAUAAUGCUUGCUGGAAUUUCAGCCUUGAUUGCUAAAUUUUCAAGAUGAUUUUAAGCUCAAUUUGCUCAAAAUACCAUAUAAGACUUUAAACUACAAGUAUGUGUUGGAAAUGAACCAAAAUCAUGGACCUUAAGUGGUUUAAACUCCAUUUAUUUCACUAUUUUCAUAGUUGGAAUUCUACUCAAGGCUGACCGAAAGAGAUAGUGAUUUUGUUUAGCUUUACAAUUGGCUUUGUGUGGUGAAAUCAUCUUGCUAAUGUCUUAAACAUAUGAUUAGACACUAAUUUUGGUAUGAGUAGUGAAUUGAAGUAGAAAAUGAAAGGUUGAGAGGUGAAAACUUCACUUUUACAUGUUUCAUGUCCCUAGUGAUAAAUUUCCAGUUUUAGUUGAGGAAAAUGAGUGUUAAUAUGUUAAUAUCAUGUUUAAUAUAAAUGUUAGCCAUGUCAUGUGAUUUUUCUAGUUUGUACAUGUUUGAUUCGUUUGCUUAUGGAAAUUUCAGCUUGUAGAGUUGAACUUUUGCUUGAUGGCUAGCCUUGGUAUGGAGACAUGUGAGUUAAAUACUUGUCUAUUUUUGGUGGCUUUAUGGUCUGAAACUAGUAGCUAGUAUAGCCUAUCAUUUGUGGUCUUGAUUUGGGUGGUUUGGCCAUGAAAUUUUGCAUUGAGUUUGGAGAGGAAAUAUAGGACUUGUUAUUACAUAGGUGAGUGUGUACAUUAUCACACUCAACCUAACUUGAUUGAAUUCCUAUUUUACAACUAUAAGUGAAUUGUUUACAAGUGAACUGAAAUUCAUGCGCAUGAGUUAAAAGUAACGGCCUGGAUCUUAAACCCCAUAGGCUAGUUAAUCGAGUCGAACCGGCAAGGGUCUGGUCGAUUAGAUAACGAACCCUGAAUCUACUAUUUUGUCGAGUGGAGUGUUAUCUUCUCAACUAAUUGGUAUACUCGAGUAUUACCACCACUGUUUACGUUUGGAAUUCGGGCCCGGUAGGGGGUUGAUUGGUGGAUGGAGGUUGGAAUUAAGUGGUGAUCUACUGGAUUUGUUAUGAUUUUAUAGUUGACGGAGUGUCAACAGAUUUUAAACAAGUUGUCAUGGAACCUGUUCCCGAGAGUAGACUGCAUCCUUUUAUAUGCAUGUGUUAUCGACUGUACAUGGUUAAAUGAGUUGUUUGGAUGUUAUGUUCUUUAUGGAAAAUGUGAUCAUGCUAUCGUGUGAAUGCUAAAAUGCCUAGUUGCUUGUUGUUCUUUUGGAACCUCACUGAGCUUUUAGCUCAUUCCUUCAAUUGUUUUUCUUAACAGGGUACAGGGAUGACAAGGACAAGAAUAGUGCUAAUUGUAAUAGAAAAUCUUAAUCUUGUAUUGGACGGCACUGUAUUAUGGUAUUAGUGUACAAGUUCUUAUCUUUUGGUCUGUAUUUUGGUUUGUAUAUUCGGAUGAUUGGUAGUAUGUAGAUGUUAUAUUGAGAGUUUUAGCGUUAUUGAUUUGCUAUCCAAAGAAUAAGAAAUUCAAAAAUUGUAGUUCUUAUUUUAAAUAAUUGCAAUUCUAUUUAUACUUAGAGAAGUGAUUGAAC